rnacentral:miRNA from 1 species
CUAGGGGUAAAGCACUGUUU